UUUUAUGGAUGUACAAAGAAAGUAGUUUCUUGUGAUGGAAUCUACUGCUGGUGAAGAUGCCAUGAAAA
rnacentral:pre_miRNA from 1 species